AUUUUCUUGAAUAAACACAAAAUCUCCCAUCGUUAACAAACCAUUCGACGAUCCCAAAAUCUAGCACUUAACGUUCAAGAAAUCCAGGGAUAAAUUAAAAUGGGUGGAAUGAAGUUGAGUGCAUUGGUGAUUGUGGUGGCAUUAGUGAUGAGUAGUUUCACGGUGGAGGGGAGGAGAGUGGCGGCGGGAGAGAAGCAGCAGGCGGUGGAGGUGGAGCAGCAGGAGGCCGUAGUUGAUGACGAUGGUGUUGUUAGUAGUUUGGAUAACCACCAUGCUUGCUCCAUGGCCGACUUCAGCAGGGGUACCUGUGAUCCAGCCUGAUCACAAAAUUGCCAAAGAGAUGAUGAGAGAACCAGUGUGUAGAAAUAUCUGUAGAAAUAAUUAAGCUGCUUUUCAAAAUAAUUAAUUAAAUAAUAGAAAUAAUUAAGCUAAGUUUGUUUAAGCUCAACCUUCUACGGUCUACGUGUUGUGUGUAUGUACAAAUUAAUGGAGAUAAUGGAGUACUUUGAUGUGGCAAAAUAUAUAAAUUAGUAUUUGUGGAGUA